rnacentral:tRNA from 1 species
AGUAGAUACUGGGCUUUUAA